UACAGAGGGUGCGAGCGUUAAUCGGAAUUACUGGGCGUAAAGCGUGCGUAGACGGUUAUCUAAGUCGGAUGUGAAAGCCCCGGGCUCAACCUGGGAAUUGCAUUCGAGACUGAAUAGCUAGGGUACGGUAGAGGGAAGUGGAAUUUCCGGUGUAGCGGUGAAAUGCGUAGAUAUCGGAAGGAACAUCAGUGGCGAAAGCGACUUCCUGGACCAGUACCGACGUUCAGGCACGAAAGCGUGGGGAGCGAACAGG
rnacentral:rRNA from 1 species